rnacentral:misc_RNA from 1 species
AGGGUGCUUAAGUUUCCAAGGUCAUGAUAUCAGCCAUAAAUCUCCUUUAAAGCUUCGGCGCAGGUUUAUGCUGAACUGAAGUAUACCAAAGCAAAGUUUAAUUGUGCAUUACUUAAGAGGGGCUACAACUGGACCAUAAGCAGCACAAGGAAAACCAAGCUCAAAGAUAAAGCAUGUCCAGAAUUUCAUUUAAGUUGACAUUGGCAGUACUUGAAUCCUUUUUGUAGGACAGGUUAGAAUUUGUGUUCUAGCCUAUGAAAUAGGUCCAGGUUCAGCUCUGACUGGGUCUAUAUUAUUUUGGAUAAGCAACUUCUAUAACUAGAACCAAAAUUAAGUUUCAUACUUUUGUAUUUUUUGGCAUUGAAGUUACAUAGAAACCUAGCUCAUAAUAGUAAUAGGAUUCCACAAGAAUUAAAAUUCUUAAUUCUUAUAGUUUUGAAAGUAGUUUCUCUGGAUCAAGGUAAGUGACAGAAGCCUAGAAUUACUACCAAUACAAUCUGAAAAGCAAAGAAGAUGAAUAGCCUCAAAACAACCUUACGAUGCACAACUGCCGUACACAGCAUUAGCAUAACCCUUCUGCUCCAAGAGCAUUGGAUCCUGGCCUUCAUUUAAUUUGUUUUAGUUGCCCGUUUAAACAUUAAUUUUGAUUGAAAAUUUUCCAGCAACUAUUUCUCUGAUUCUAGGCCCAAAAUUUGGAAUAUUUCCAUCCUAAAGAAAAUAGAAACAUUAAAUUCCUUUCUAAAAUAGAAAAAAAGCUAUAAAAUUUCAAGUUCCCUGAUAUGUGGUUAUCUAUUGAAAAUGAUGGGGGAACUUGCAGUCAACUAACUACCAAAUUUGUAAGCUGAAUCACAUUUUUAUUCUACACAAAAAAGUAAUACGAUCAGAAAUCCUCAAGUAAGCUAACUUGGAUUGGCUAUAAGAAUUCCUCCAUUCUGUAUAAGAAUUCCU